AUGAAUAUUUUGGCCUGGAACUGUCGAGGGUUGGGGUUGGACUCGACAGUUGGCGAACUCAGAGACCUGAUACGGUCAUACAACCCAGCCGUGGUAUUUUUAUGCGAAACAAAAAAGAAGGCUAGUGCGAUGGAAAGGCUCAAGUGGAGACUUGGAUUUAGGAGUGGAGUUGCAGUUGGUUGUCAGGGAUUAAGUGGUGGACUUGCACUAUGGUGGAGAGAAAAUAUCAUUGUCACCAUU
rnacentral:rRNA from 1 species